CCUACGGGAGGCAGCAGUGGGGAAUCUUGCGCAAUGGGCGAAAGCCUGACGCAGCAACGCCGCGUGCGGGAUGAAGGCCUUCGGGCUGUAAACCGCUUUCAGCAGGAACGAAAAUGACGGUACCUGCAGAAGAAGGAGCGGCCAACUACGUGCCAGCAGCCGCGGUGACACGUAGGCUCCAAGCGUUGUCCGGAUUUAUUGGGCGUAAAGAGCUCGUAGGCGGUCUAAUAAGUCGGGUGUGAAAACUCUGGGCUCAACCCGGAGACGCCAUCCGAUACUGUUAUGACUUGAGUUCAGGAGGGGAGCGGGGAAUUCCUAGUGUAGCGGUGAAAUGCGCAGAUAUUAGGAGGAACACCGGUGGCGAAGGCGCCGCUCUGGACUGAAACUGACGCUGAGGAGCGAAAGCAUGGGUAGCAAACAGGAUUAGAUACCCUGGUAGUCCAUGCCGUAAACGGUGGGCACUAGGUGUGGGUUUCACUACGAAUCGCGCGUCGCUACGCAUAAGUGCCCGCCUGGGGAGGUACGGUCGCGAGACGAAACUAACANAGUAAGUAGUGUUGNGAGAGNGCGACGCGACGACGGAGGGAGGAGG
rnacentral:rRNA from 1 species